GCCGGGCGCGGUGGCUCACGCCUGUAAUCCCAGCCCUUUGGGAGGCCGAGGCGGGCGGAUCACCUGAGGUCAGGAGUUCAAGACCAGCCUGGCCAACAUGGUGAAACCCCGUCUCUA
rnacentral:SRP_RNA from 1 species